rnacentral:rRNA from 1 species
AUCCUGGCUCAGGACGAACGCUGGCGGCGUGCCUAAUACAUGCAAGUCGAGCGGACAGAUGGGAGCUUGCUCCCUGAUGUUAGCGGCGGACGGGUGAGUAACACGUGGGUAACCUGCCUGUAAGACUGGGAUAACUCCGGGAAACCGGGGCUAAUACCGGAUGGUUGUUUGAACCGCAUGGUUCAAACAUAAAAGGUGGCUUCGGCUACCACUUACAGAUGGACCCGCGGCGCAUUAGCUAGUUGGUGAGGUAAYGGCUCACCAAGGCRACGAUGCGUAGCCGACCUGAGAGGGUGAUCGGCCACACUGGGACUGAGACACGGCCCAGACUCCUACGGGAGGCAGCAGUAGGGAAUCUUCCGCAAUGGACGAAAGUCUGACGGAGCAACGCCGCGUGAGUGAUGAAGGUUUUCGGAUCGUAAAGCUCUGUUGUUAGGGAAGAACAAGUACCGUUCGAAUAGGGCGGUACCUKACGGUACCWACCAGAAAGC